UCUCCGUUGGUGAACCAGCGGAGGGAUCAUUAAAGAGAUGAAAAACUCCCCAACCAUUAUGAACAUACCUUCAACGUUGCUUCGUCGGGUUAGCCCCGGUUUCCGGGGUCCCCGGCCCUCACGGGCGCCCGGCGGAGGUACCUAACUCUAGAACUCUUAUGGCCUUACCGAGUCUUUGUACUAAAUAAGUCAAAACUUUCAACAACGGAUCUCUUGGUUCUG
rnacentral:misc_RNA from 1 species